CAUGCUGUCACAUGCUCAGAAUACAACAGGAUGACAUCUUCAUCCCUGAAUGUUUUCAUCCUGGAGGCAGAGGAGGAAAGAACAGCAUGCCAAACUGACCCCUUGGUGCCAGUGUUUAUGUGCUGCGGUGGAGAAGAGGUCCACCACUAAAGAGCUCAGGGCCCGGCUAGACUGCGCUCACGACCAUCAGAAGUCCUUCAUAAGGAUUAGUGACACGUCCAAUCGCCAUCCAGACAGACUGACAGGAACCUCUGACUGGAUGUAAUACGAGAACGAACUCUGAUCUGGGGCAAUGAUCGGCUCAAACAUGAAUGGCUUCAUCCGUAGAGCAGCCACCCAUCUCCACCUUCUGCCCUCCAGGUGUUGUUGUGCUGGUCUGUUCUGUCUGGAUUGUGUGGACUAGCUCUCUGAGCUCCACCAUGUAUCUCUUCAGCUCUGUGAACGUAUCCCUCUCAGUGAUGGAGGAGCAGUGCAGUUGUGGGACCAGGGUGUGUUCAGUGCUGGAGGGGUGACUAUCCUCAUCUGCAGGACAGUUUGAAGAGGUGUGAUCAGACAGGAUGGGGGUGGGGUCACAGA
ensembl:lncRNA